rnacentral:misc_RNA from 1 species
GUCUUCCCUGCGCGCGCUUGGCCGGCCGUGUCUGUUGCUCGUCCGAGCGCUCCUCCCGGCCCCGGCUCAACGACCUUCUCCCCAGCCAGGAUGCCUCCGUGGCCGCGCGCCCUGAAGCUCCAGUUGACACGUCCCGACCAAGCCCCAGCUCGGAUUCCCCUUCCCAUGGCGGCGCCCACCUCCCUGUGCUCCCUGUUCCAGCUCGUCGGGGAUGCCCCUUCCUCCAGCCGUGUUCUGCUUCUCUCCCUGCGCCCCUAUUCAUCUCCUGCGCGCCUUGGUUUUGGUCCCAAGCUCCAUGGCCGCCGCGCUGCAGCUCUCUGGUGCUCGGUCGCCAAGUCUCCCUGCUCUAUGCGUUCUUCUUCCUCCCUGGCUCCUGCUCGUCCAACGACGCCGUCGGCCGGACCUCUCUGCUUCUCCUGCGCCCGCGUCGUGGCUCUUCACUGCGCGUAGUGGUGCUUCAGUUCUGCUCUGUCCAUUUUCCUGUGCCGCGCCACUGCAGCUCGCCUCGGCUCCUCGCCUCAUCCACGGCCGAGCGCCCUCUGCCCAGCCUGUCGAAGCUCCUCUGCCGGCUGCAAGCUCCUGCUCAAGCUUGCUCUCGGCGCUCGCCCCUGAUUUCUGCGCUCAGCUCCACCGCGCCGUGAAGUCCCUGCGCCCAAGCUAUCUGUUGGCCGCGCGCAAACUCCUCUGCUUGGCCCGUCGUCGUUCUCCAGCGCACUCGAUGGUUUCGUCGUCUCGUCUUGAUGUCAGUCCCUACGUGACAUCUCCGACGUGGGUUCACGCCGACAAAAGAAUCCCAAGAAGAUAUAGAGAAGCAAGCCUUUGAUCAAUGUUCAAGUGGUCGGCGAAAGGCCAGAACAAGAAUCAUCACCGUUUAUACGGAGUUCUACUUAAUAUGAAAAGAUUCCAAGAAUUAUGGAUAGAAGAGAAAGUGAAGCUUCGUGCUAUACUCGUCAGCUGCUCGAUCGAAGACUUCAAUCGAAGACUAUCGUCGUUCCCGCCAACACUGAAUCAAGUUGAUAACGGUACGUUAAAUAAUCGCGUGAUGCGGAAGACGAUCCAAGUCGACUCCAAGCGUGGGCUAAUCCGCAGGAUGAAGCUGAUGGACAAUGGAGCGAGUAUCGGAAUAAAGGCUGAUCGUCAAGUGGACGUCAUCUAACAACACUAACCUAGUGUUAUUCAGGUUAUAGUUUUGUGCUGCUGUGAUGGUGUUAAGUGCCGGUGGGCUCGGCCUUCUUAUAUAAGUAUACCCCGCCUUUAUCUUCUUAUUGAGGAUGGUCACUUGAGCUAGCAUAUAUUUCAAACUUAUACUUUUAUAAUCACUCCGAUCAUGUACCAAGUAAAAUUUUUGUAACUUGUAAAAUUUGAUAAUAAGAUUUCCGCUGCAAACUGUUGGUGUGUGAUUUGUGUUACUUAAUCUUGCGAUUCUGGUUGUAAGUGGUUUAUCCGGUGUCCGUGGGGCAAUCGGACGGAUCCUGUUAAGUUAUCUGGUGCACAUGCAUGGCC